UUAGUACUCCCUCCGUCCCAAAAUUCUUGUCUUAGAUUUGUCUAAAUACGGAUGCAUCAAGUCAUGUUUUAGUAUUAGAUACAUCCGUAUCUAGACAAAUCUAAGACAAGAAUUUUGGGACGGAGGGAGUACUAU
rfam:Triticum aestivum genome assembly, contig: Triticum_aestivum_CS42_TGACv1_scaffold_436009_5DL